rnacentral:rRNA from 1 species
GUAGUCAUAUGCUUGUCUCAAAGAUUAAGCCAUGCAUGUCUAAGUAUAAGCAAUUAUACCGUGAAACUGCGAAUGGCACAUUAAAUCAGUUAUCGUUUAUUUGAUAGUACCUUACUACUUGGAUAACCGUGGUAAUUCUAGAGCUAAUACAUGCUGAAAACCCCAACUUCGGAAGGGGUGUAUUUAUUAGAUAAAAAACCAAUGCCCUUCGGGGCUCCUUGGUGAUUCAUAAUAACUUCUCAGAUCGCAUGGCCUUGCGCCGGCGACGGUUCAUUCAAAUUUCUGCCCUAUCAACUUUCGAUGGUAAGGUAUUGGCUUACCAUGGUUUCAACGGGUAACGGGGAAUUAGGGUUCGAUUCCGGAGAGGGAGCCUGAGAAACGGCUACCACAUCCAAGGAAGGCAGCAGGCGCGCAAAUUACCCAAUCCCGACACGGGGAGGUAGUGACAAUAAAUACUGAUACAGGGCUCUUUUGAGUCUUGUAAUUGGAAUGAGUACAAUUUAAACCUCUUAACGAGGAACAAUUGGGGGGCAUGUCUGGUGCCAGCAGCC